AAAUAGUUGAAAGGUUAUUUUUCAGAUGCAUUUAGAACUUCAAAUUCUAGAACUUCAAAUUCGUCAAGCGAAGAAAUCCUCCACCUGACUUUAGCGGUGUCAUUGUCUUCUCGAAAAUGGUCAAACGAAGACUGGCUCGAGGAUCAGGGAGCCCAAGAGAAUGUUGGAGAAGCUUUGCUAGGUGACCAUGGAGUGACCCUGGUCGUCUAACUGCUACAGUACACUUCAAUCAGAAGACACACCUGCUGAGAAAUCGGUUAAUACCAAAAGUCCCCCACACCCAACCUCAUAUCAAACCAAGCCAACCUAGCAGACAUGUAGAGUGACAACCUGUCGCAGGCCUUUGGGAGUAUCUCCUUACUGUAGGUAGAGGUAAAUGAGCUUCGUGGUGAGGUGACAGUUCUGAGGCAGGAUAAGGAAGUGCUAAGAGAGAAACUGGCAAUGGUCAAGUGCAUCAUGAGGAGAGAGGUAGCUGAGCUACAAAGGGAGUUGUCAGCAGUAAUAGAAUGGCUACAACACAGCGACACAACCAUCCACACUUUUAAGAGAACAACUGGGGCCUACCACAACCCUCACUACCACACCCUCACAUCGACAGUACGACCGCUUCUCAUAGUGAAACUCCAGAACUUCUACAGGCUCAGCGUAAGUAAACAGACCUAAAACAACUCCUCCUCCCACACCAGAACAUUCCCCUCAUAAGAGAGGUCUGACGAGACCUCUUCAAGAUCCUAUCAUCUCAGCCCCAGAGCACCAGUGCCAGCGGAGCCAUGCUGGAAUCCUCAGGAGAGAAGAACACAAUGAAAGGCCACCUGUGGUCCCCACCCCACUCUAUCCGAAGAACAUUACUUCAGACACAGCAGCACACAGGGAGAACACCCUAUGGCCUUCAUUUUAUAUGACACCAAUGGGACAUUUCUCAGAGAGAAACUGCUAUUCCCUGGCAUGUCAGUCAGAAUGCUAUGGUGCCCAAAAGCAGCAAGUGCCUUGAAAAGUCUGUCAAGCAACAAAUGAAAUGGGGCCAAACAUAUUAUAAUUCACACGGGUACUAAUGUUUGAUGGCAAUGAGAGGACAUGUAGCUCCUGCAAUGCAGCAAGUUGCAGCCAGCGCUGCAGGGAGAUUUCCUAACACCAAAAUCUCUAUGUCCACCCUGGUGCUGCGUGGAGAUGUGCCCUUCCACAUUAUUCAGAGCAACAAUGCUGAGCUGUCUAGAGACUGUGCUCUCUUGGGCAAUGUUUACCUAGCGAACCACUGUGACAUUCACCCACAGCUGAACAAACAGGGUGUCGAGGUGUUUGCUAGGAAACUGAAAAAAACUACCCUGGAACAAAGCAAAAACCAAAAUAAGAGGAACUCUGCUAUACAUAUUUUCAAGCA